rnacentral:tRNA from 1 species
GCCGGGGUAGCGAAGCCAGGUAACGCGCCAGACUCGAGAUCUGGUUCUCCUCACGGAGAUCAGGGGUUCAAAUCCCCUCCCCGGCG